AUUGAUGUUUAAUUUUUGUGGGUUUUUGGUGUGAUUUUUGUGGGUUUGCAUAUGUAGUAUUUUUACGUUUUUUCAUGUUUUUUUGUAUUUAGAUCUGAAAUUUUUAUGUUUAAUUUUUCAAAAUUUUGGUGAUUUUGGUUGGUGGUUAACGGUGGCUGGUGGUGGUAGGUGGUGGCUCAAGGUUGUUAGAGGUGAAAAGGGAGGUGGUCGGGGCAGGAGUAAGGUUUUUGGUGGUGUCAGGGGAAGGGGGUUAAUAUGGCUGUAUGGGCUAUGGUCGUAUGGAGUAGGGGGUUAGUAUUAGGGGUGAAAGUAGUUUGGAUAAAAACCGAAAACCGAUCCAAACCGAACCGAACUAGAAAUUUGGUUCGAUUUUUUCGGUUUUCGGUUUGGAUUCAGUUCCAAAAUUCUGAAACCGAAUUAUUUUGGUUUGGAUUCGGUUCUGGGUCCUCAAAAACCGAAAACCAAAAUCCAAACCGAAAUGUUUAAAGCCCAUAUAGAUUCUAGCCCAAUUCCCCUACAUAUAUAUAGCAAACCCUAAUUUCCUCCUUCAUUUUUCUGACUUUCGGCCAUCUUCACUUCUCAAUUCCUCUACUUCCUCACCAAAACCCUUCAUUUCCUUCACUCCGGCCACCGUAUCUCACUCCGGCCACCAUAUAUUGUCUCCUUGGUCGAAUAUCAGUUCCUUUCUUCAGAUCUGGUGUUCGUAGACUUCGUACUCCCUCAAAUUCGCGAUGCACCACCACCUUCUGUCGCCACCACCUCUCUCAGUCACUCAAAGACUUGAAAAACAUGAAAAUUAAUGAUCCAAUCAACCCAGACUUGGUUGAGCUUGAUUGAAUGCAUGAAGAGUACGCUGCCAAGAAGAAGAAGCUACUGCCAGAUUUGAAUGAAGCUGCUGCCAAUCUGCCAUACUGUCAUUUUAUGUUUAAGACUAUUGUUGUGUUUGAUUGUCUGUAAUUUUUAUUUUGGCUGGACAAACUUAAGUGUUGUAAUUCAUGACAUUAAUUAUGGUGGUGGAAUCUUUGUCUAAAAA